rnacentral:tRNA from 1 species
AUUUGAGUAGCUUAAAUUUAAAGCCUAAUAUUGAAGCUAUUAUGAUAAGGUUACCCUUCUCAAAUA